rnacentral:rRNA from 1 species
GGAAUAUUGCGCAAUGGGGGGAACCCUGACGCAGCGACGCCGCGUGGGUGAUGAAGGCCUUCGGGUCGUAAAGCCCUGUCGUAAGGGAAGAAAUCGUUAUCGGCUAAUACCCGGUGGCGUUGACGGUACCUUA